GAUGAACGCUGGCGGCGUGCCUAAUACAUGCAAGUCGAGCGAACGGACGAGAAGCUUGCUUUUCUGAUGUUAGCGGCGGACGGGUGAGUAACACGUGGAUAACCUACCUAUAAGACUGGGAUAACUUCGGGAAACCGGAGCUAAUACCGGAUAAUAUUUUGAACCGCAUGGUUCAAAAGUGAAAGACGGUCUUGCUGUCACUUAUAGAUGGAUCCGCGCUGCAUUAGCUAGUUGGUAAGGUAACGGCUUACCAAGGCAACGAUGCAUAGCCGACCUGAGAGGGUGAUCGGCCACACUGGAGCUGAGAGACGGUCCAGACUCCUACGGGAGGCAGCAGUAGGGAAUCUUCCGCAAUGGGCGAAAGCCUGACGGAGCAACGCCGCGUGAGUGAUGAAGGUCUUCGGAUCGUAAAACUCUGUUAUUAGGGAAGAACAUAUGUGUAAGUAACUGUGCACAUCUUGACGGUACCUAAUCAGAAAGCCACGGCUAACUACGU
rnacentral:rRNA from 1 species